CCGGUAUCCUGCUUUUAGAGGCCGUUUUAAACUGCUGUGAGUGUCCUGGUUGGGGGCCGCUGAUUCCGGACCGCAUGACCCGAUCUAAAAAGCGCCAGAGUAGGCGCUGUCCCUGCGCCACAGUGGACUCUGAGGUUCUGCAACGGCGACUGGGGUACCGUGCGCCAGGCCGGGGAGAGGAAAGUCCCUGCCCGCGUCCCCCUGCCGCUCCGGCCAGAGUCUGAUGGCGGUGACGCGCUGAGGGACCCACCUCCCGGACAGUGUAAGCUUUAAAGACAUUGCUGUGUACUUCUCCUCGGAGGAACAGAGGCUUCUUGAUGAGGCUCCGAGAUGCCUGUACCUCAGUGUGAUCCUGGAAAGCUUUGCACUCAUAUCUUCACUGGGUUAUUGCUGUGGAGGACAGGAUGCAGAGGCACCCUUUCAACAUAACAUUUCUAUAGGCCUGUCACAGGCCAGGACUCCUAAGGCACUUUCAUUUUCCCAGAAGAAUCACAUCUGUGAGAAGUGUAGUCUGGUCUUGAGAAGUAUUUUUCACUUGGCAGAGCAUGAAGAAACACAACACAGCCAGAAAGUGUUCGGGUAUAAAAUACACAUGAAACAAUUUCAUUUUGGUGCAAACCUCCAAAAACACCAGAAGCAGUACAUGGAAAAGAAAUCCUUCAGAAAUGAUGUAGACAGGGCCUUGUUUGUGAAGCGCUGCAAACUCCAUAUGUCAGAAAAGCCCUCUUCCUGUGAGAAAGUUAAGAGACUUUCUGGCCACCUCAGGACAUCUCCAGCAACAGUCCACUCACACCAGGGAGAAGCCAGACAAUAUUGUCCAGUAUGAGCCAACUUUACAAAGCAGAGAAAGUCAUUACAACCUGGGAGAACACAAGAAAACCCUGAACCCCAAACACACACUUGUUCAAGACAAGAGUGUCCACAUUGGAAGACAUUGUUUUGUGUGCAGUGAAUGUAGGAAAACAUUCAAGUACAAAUCCUUAUUUAUGUGCACCAGAGAGUCCACACUAGAAAAAGACUUCAUGUGUGUGGUGAAUGUGGGAAAUUGUUCAGGCGAACUUCGAUCCUCAGUCUGCAUCAAAGAAUUCAUACUGGGGCAAGGCAGUACAAGUGCAGCAAAUGUGGGAAUUUCUUUAGCCAAAACUUUGUCCUCAUUUAUCCCUGGAGAAGUCACAUUGGAGAAAUUACUUUUGUUGUGAAUGUGUACAGUCUUUUAACCGUAGAUGCAUCCUAGUUUGACAGUCAAUAGUUCCCAAUGGAAAAAGGCAUUGUGAGUGUACUCAAUGUUGGAUAUCUUUUAAAUGAAAGUGUUUUCUCAUUGUACACUGGAAAGUUCACAUAGGAGAAAGGCCUUACAAUUGCAGUGAAUGUGGGAAAUCAUUUACCUAUAGCUCGGUUCUCAUCCUACACCAGCGACUUCACAAGGGAGAAAGGCCUCUUGCAUGUGGUGAAUGUGGGAAAUCUUUUUCCACUUGGAAAUCUUUUUACCAAUAGCUUGAUACUCAUUCUCCACCAGAGAGUUCACACAGGAAAAAGGCCUUAUGAGUGUAGUGAGUGUUGGGAAUCGUUAGUUAUCAGUCUUAGCUCAUUCAACACUGCAAAGUUCAUAGUGGAAAAAGGCCUUAUGAAUGUAGUGAAAGUGGGAAAUCUAGUUCUGGCCCCCAUUAUCAUCAGAGAGUUCACAAUGGAUCAAGGCCUUAUGAUUGCAGUGAAUGUGGGAAAUCUUUUACCUCUAGUUCUGCCCUCUGUUAUCAUCACAGAGUUCACACAGGAAAAAGACCUUAUGAGUGCAAGCAGUGUGGAAAAUGUUUUAUGUUCAAUUCUGCCCUGUGUUAUCAUCAUAAGACUCAUGCUGGAGAUAGACUUUAUGAGUGCUCUGUAUGUGGGAAAUGUUUUUCUUCUGGUUCCACCCUCCCCUGUCAUCAAAGGUUUCACACAGGAGAAAGGCCUUAUGUGUGCAGUGAAUGUGGGAAAUCCUUUAUCCAAAGAUACUACCUUCUUAUACACUGGAGAGUUCACACCGGAGAAAAGCUUUAUAAGUGUACUGAAUGCGAGAAGUCUUUUACCACUAAGAGGAGCCUUAUUUAUCAUCAGGGAAAUCACGCUGGAGAAAGGCCUUAUGAGUACCAUGAAUCUGGGAAAUUCUUUAAGCGACAGUCUUCUCUCACUGAACACUAGACCUCACACUGGGCAAAAAGCCUUAUAAAUACAGUGAGUGUAGGAAAUU